rnacentral:lncRNA from 1 species
CUUUUAAAGUUUUGAUGAAUAAAAAUAGAACUCAUCUCUUAAACCUAGUUUCCUUUAGAUGACAUUGUGUCUCUGCCGGUUGGACUUUUGCCUGAAAUGACGCUAAUAUACCAUGAGCCCACCAGAGCAGUGGCUGCCAAAAAUAACAGCUGUGAAAUGAUUUGUGACGCUGUUCAGCAGAAACAUAUUUGUCCUUUUGCAUUUUAUGAUCGCUUUGGAUGAUAUGAUGGUCACUGUGGCCAGAAAGGGGCUUGACCUAAGAUGUCACAGGAAGCAUCUCAGACCACCUCCAUGUGAAUAUUGGAAGUCUUGCCUCUGCUGUCCCCUAGGAGACCACUAAAGGAAAAGAGGCUUUUCCAUGUCAUGCAAACACGGUUUCCACAUCAGUUCCGGAAUGCAGGGGAAUUUCCCAGCCUCCGUGCUUUGAGGCUUGAGGAAGUCAUUCACAUUAUGAAGCUGUGAA